rnacentral:rRNA from 1 species
CAUAGGUUAAUGAGGCGAACCGGGGGAACUGAAACAUCUAAGUACCCCGAGGAAAAGAAAUCAACCGAGAUUCCCCCAGUAGCGGCGAGCGAACGGGGAGCAGCCCAGAGCCUGAAUCAGUGUGUGUGUUAGUGGAAGCGUCUGGAAAGGCGCGCGAUACAGGGUGACAGCCCCGUACACAAAAAUGCACAUGCUGUGAGCUCGAUGAGUAGGGCGGGACACGUGGUAUCCUGUCUGAAUAUGGGGGGACCAUCCUCCAAGGCUAAAUACUCCUGACUGACCGAUAGUGAACCAGUACCGUGAGGGAAAGGCGAAAAGAACCCCGGCGAGGGGAGUGAAAAAGAACCUGAAACCGUGUACGUACAA